UACGAAGGGGGCGAGCGUUGUUCGGAUUUACUGGGCGUAAAGCGCACGUAGGCGGCUUUGUAAGUUAGAGGUGAAAGCCCGGGGCUCAACCCCGGAAUUGCCUUUAAGACUGCAUCGCUAGAAUUGUGGAGAGGUAAGUGGAAUUCCGAGUGUAGAGGUGAAAUUCGUAGAUAUUCGGAAGAACACCAGUGGCGAAGGCGACUUACUGGACACAUAUUGACGCUGAGGUGCGAAAGCGUGGGGAGCAAACAGG
rnacentral:rRNA from 1 species